AAUGAACGCUGGCGGCGCGCCUAAUACAUGCAAGUCGAGCGAGAAGACGUAGCAAUACGUUUGUAAAGCGGCGAACGGGUGAGGAAUACAUGGGUAACCUACCCUCGAGUGGGGAAUAACUAGCCGAAAGGUUAGCUAAUACCGCGUACGCUUCUUGGACUUCGGUUCAGGGAGGAAAGCGAUACCGUGGGUAUCGCGCUCUUGGAUGGGCUCAUGUCCUAUCAGCUUGUUGGGAGGUAACGGCUCACCAAGGCUUCGACGGGUAGCUGGUCUGAGAGGACGAUCAGCCACACUGGCACUGCGACACGGGCCAGACUCCUACGGGAGGCAGCAGUAAGGAAUAUUGCGCAAUGGGCGAAAGCCUGACGCAGCGACGCCGCGUGGGGGAUGAAGGUCUUCGGAUUGUAAACCCCUUUCGGGUAGGGAAGAUGGAAUGGGGUAACCCAUUCGGACGGUACCUCCAGAAGCAGCCACGGCUAACUUCGUGCCAGCAGCCGCAGUAAC
rnacentral:rRNA from 1 species